GACGAACGCUGGCGGCGUGCUUAGCACAUGCAAGUCGAACGGAAAGGCCCUGCUUUUGUGGGGUGCUCGAGUGGCGAACGGGUGAGUAACACGUGAGUAACCUGCCCUUGACUUUGGGAUAACUUCAGGAAACUGGGGCCAAUACCGGAUAGGAGCUCCUGCUGCAUGGUGGGGGUUGGAAAGUUUCGGCGGUUGGGGAUGGACUCGCGGCUUAUCAGCUUGUUGGUGGGGUAGUGGCUUACCAAGGCUUUGACGGGUAGCCGGCCUGAGAGGGUGACCGGCCACAUUGGGACUGAGAUACGGCCCAGACUCCUACGGGAGGCAGCAGUGGGUAAUAUUGCACAAUGGGCGGAAGCCUGAUGCAGCAACGCCGCGUGCGGGAUGACGGCCUUCGGGCUGUAAACCGCUUUCGCCUGUGACGAAGCGUGAGUGACGGUAAUGGGUAAAGAAGCACCGGCUAACUACGUG
rnacentral:rRNA from 1 species